GAUGUUGAGUAUCAAACUGUAUGUUAUGUGUCGUAUAUAGUUUGAUACACAGCACAAUA
rnacentral:miRNA from 1 species